rnacentral:lncRNA from 1 species
AGAAGACUGUGUCUUCUCCCACAUUGAGACCCAAAGGCUAUAAAAAAGGUAGAUGUCUGCGGAGAAGAGGAGUGCCUGCUCCCUCUCCCUGUUGGCUUCCUCCUCCCCACCUUGUCCUGCCAAUCAGCUGAGAGACUGACUCCACACAGCUUUAUCUCACCUCAAGGAAAUGCUAACAUACGCCAUCAGCCAGCACACCAUUGACAGAGAAGUGAGGAGCAAGUGGUUCAGCAGUUCAGUAAAUAUGGCGGUCAACCUGAAACACUCUGCCCACUUGAGGAAGACUUGACUGUCAUCUGCACCCCGCAAGACAUAUGUUCUGCACAUUGCCUUCCUGCUCCUUCUGCGACCACAGGGAGAGGAAGCACGGCUGCUGCAAGAGCUGCCAAAAGGCAGGGAGCAAGAGCUAAUUCCACAACAAGAGCAAGCUCACAGUCGGUGAUCUCAGUGUCAGAGUCCCACUCUACCCUCUUGGGAUCCUAUGUAUCUGAGCUGCUCUAUGUUUAAUCAUCAUCAUGUCACCAUCAAAAAUAUUUAUUAAACCGCUGCAUACAUAUGA